GAAAUAUCCUCAUUCUAUAGGGCUAUUGUAAAUUGACGAUGAUGACGAGACAAAAAAAGGAAUUUGUAUCUAAAAACUGCGUGAUAUAUGCAAUUGCAGCGUUGAUAAUUGGAGUGGUUAUUUGUUUUAUCUUUACUGAAUUCGAUGGCAUUAUUCCUGAACAACAUUUUGAUGGUGCAUCUAACCUGAAAGCAUGUUUGGAUGACUGCAGGAAACGGUUUCGACAAAAUCGAAGAAAGCUAUAUGAUUGCGUUCAUGAUUGCUAUCAUGAGUACAAUUGAUACUUUAGUAACGGUAAACGUUUAAGUUACUAUUAAUCUUUUUUUAGAGGUUUAUUUUAUUAUUAUUUUAAUAAUCAUGGUACUUAAAAGUAGUCCUUAAUCAUCUAUCAAAUAAAUACUUGAAAAGUUUCUUUUAGUUUUGAAUCUUUUUUAUUGCUGCA
rnacentral:lncRNA from 1 species